rnacentral:rRNA from 1 species
UACAGAGGUGGCAAGCGUUGUUCGGAAUUACUGGGCGUAAAGGGCGCGUAGGCGGCCUGCUAAGUCGAACGUGAAAUCCCCGGGCUUAACCCGGGAACUGCGUCCGAUACUGGCUGGCUUGAAUCCGGGAGAGGGAUGCGGAAUUCCAGGUGUAGCGGUGAAAUGCGUAGAUGUCUGGAGGAACACCGGUGGCGAAGGCGGCAUCCUGGACCGGUAUUGACGCUGAUGCGCGAAAGCCAGGGGAGCAAACGGG